GACGAACGCUGGCGGCGUGCCUAAUACAUGCAAGUCGAGCGAAGCGGCGGAUGGGUGAGUAACGCGUGGGUAACCUGCCCUUAAGCCUGGGAUACCAUAUGGAAACAGAUGCUAAUACCGGAUAUUCAAGGAGGGUCUUGCGAGGCAUUAGCUGGUUGGAAAGGUAACGGAUUACCAAGGCGAUGAUGCAUAGCCGAGUUGAGAGGAUGAUCGGCAACAUUGGGACUGAGAAACGGCCCAAACUCCUACGGGAGGCAGCAGUAGGGAAUCUUCCACAAUGGACGAAAGUCUGAUGGAGCAACGCCGCGUGAGUGAAGAAGGUUUUCGGAUCGUAAAGCUCUGUUGUUUGUGAAGCGGUAAUCAACCAGAAAGUCACGGCUAACUACGUGCCAGCAGCCGCGGUAAUAC
rnacentral:rRNA from 1 species